rnacentral:rRNA from 1 species
GACGAACGCUGGCGGCGUGCCUAAUACAUGCAAGUAGAACGCACAGUUUAUACCGUAGCUUGCUACACCAUAGACUGUGAGUUGCGAACGGGUGAGUAACGCGUAGGUAACCUGCCUGGUAGCGGGGGAUAACUAUUGGAAACGAUAGCUAAUACCGCAUAAUAUUGAUUAUUGCAUGAUAAUUAAUUGAAAGGUGCAAUUGCACCACUACCAGAUGGACCUGCGUUGUAUUAGCUAGUAGGUGAGGUAACGGCUCACCUAGGCGACGAUACAUAGCCGACCUGAGAGGGUGAUCGGCCACACUGGGACUGAGACACGGCCCAGACUCCUACGGGAGGCAGCAGUAGGGAAUCUUCGGCAAUGGACGAAAGUCUGACCGAGCAACGCCGCGUGAGUGAAGAAGGUUUUCGGAUCGUAAAGCUCUGUUGUAAGAGAAGAACGGGUGUGAGAGUGGAAAGUUCACACUGUGACAGUAUCUUACCAGAAAGGGACGGCUAACUACGUG